CUGCUUGGGCGCUCUCUAAACCUGCCCUGUUGUUUGGGGGUUAUCUCUCAGCUGCCGCAAGGUCCAUGUUCAAGGUGGCAGCGCAGACACUCUGCGCCCUCCCCGGGCUCUGCAUUAGCUGGGCACUUUCCCCGGCACAUGACAUUUGCACACGCCAUGCCCUCAGCAGACAGAGCGGCCGAACUCCGAGCGCGGGCACCUAGAGGAAGGCUGGUGGCAUGAGGCACAACCCAUGCUAUACCUGCGCAGGGCCGGAUUAAACUUCUGUGGGCCCGUCCCCAAACAUAUUUGUGGGGGCAAUGGAGCGUGGCAUGAGAGGGUCGGUCCCCGGAGUGAGGGGCCAGCCAGGGGCAUGGCAUGGCAGGGGCGGCCCCACUCUGCCCAGCCCAGUGCAGUUGCCAGACGCACAAUGGCCCGCCUGGCCCUGUGCUGCCAGCAUGCCCCUUCCCUUGGGGGUGGGCCCAUGCCACGCCCCACAGCCCCCAUGCCCAACACUGGAACACCCCCUAUGGCCAAAACCUCCCCAGACCCGCUAUGCCCAGCGCCCCCCCAGACCCUGCCAAAAAUGCACAGUGCCCAGCACAACACCGCAACUGCCCAGCGCCCCGCUGCCCACAGCCCCACCACAAUUGCCCAGCUCCCCACACAAAACCUCCACUCCCUUGUUCCACAGCACAUACAGGUCUUUCCCGCCCCUCACAGCCCAGCACCCCGCCGAACCCCCAGAGACCCCCUCCCCCACGCCCUACCUCCUGGCCGCACUCACUGGCCCUCUGGGAGGUGACUGUGUCUGCCGGGCUGAGCCGGCAGCAUAGCCAGGGCUGGUCCUGGGGCGGGGAAUCGCUCCGGCCCCUCAGGAGUGGCGCGAUCAGCCAGGCCAGGGCCUGUCCGGGCCGGGCUCCCUCAGGACCCACUUGCCUGGAGCGGCCUAGCCCAGCCCCCCACACUGUGUCUGUUCCCCCCAACCGGCUGAGACUGGCCAGGCUUCUGGACCCGUCCCAGCCGGCUCAGCUCCGGGGAGACAGGUGGGACCCCACAGAUGGGAAGCUGAGACUGCCUGGAGCUGGAGGGGCACUGGGGUCCGGCCAGGGGGCAGAGAGAAGCCAGCGGGCAGGUCCAGGGGGUGGAGAGGAGCCCUCGGCCAGCCGGCGGUCUGAGAGGAGCAAGUUAUGGGCGGGGCUCCAUGGUGCCACUGGCGCCAUUGUAAACCCGGGAUUGUACCUGCGCUGUAAGGAGACAUUCCAUCUGUCCAUGGUACUUACGCAGCCCCCAUUACCGUACUACCUGAGCACCUCACAAUCUCUACCAUAAAUAUCCUCACAACCCCCCUGUGAGGCAGGGCAGUGCUGUUUUCCCCACUACACAGAUUGGGCAUGGAGGCACCGAGUGGUUGACUUGUCACAGGUCACACAGGGAGUCUGUGGAAGUGCAGAGAAUUGAACCUGUAUCUCCCAAGGCCUAGGCAACCACCCUAACUACUGGGUCAUUCUUCCUCUCUUGUGCAGUUUUUAUUUGCUCGGACUCUGGGUUCUUGGUUUGACUGAUUCUCUCUGUAGCCACCAGAAAGCUACCGGAAGAAUGAGCUUCUUCCAUCACAGUGGGCAGAGCAUCAGAGUCUUGCACAAUACCAUUGGGACAAUUGGGGCACUAGGAGGAAACCAAGAAAAACAGUCUGAGAGACUUGGAAUCCACCAGAACACUGCCCGAGCAGCUGUGAACCUAUGUCACUAGGCCUUGAAUGUUAUAGGUGGUAAUCACAGUAAUUUGGACAUCACUGCAACCAGGUGCUUCCUGUUACGUUGGCUGUGUAAAGAGCAAAAGAUGCAACAGAAACAAUUAUGGUAAGGGUGUUAGGACUGUGUGCUUUUUGCAGCAGGUAGUUCUGAGUUCUAACAACCAUGAAGUUCUUUGGUGGCCAAGGAUUUGUUGUACUAUAUGUUUAAAACACAAUAAAAUGUGCCUUGCUUUAA